GAUGAACGCUGGCGGCGUGCCUAAUACAUGCAAGUCGAGCGAACGGACGAGAAGCUUGCUUCUCUGAUGUUAGCGGCGGACGGGUGAGUAACACGUGGAUAACCUACCUAUAAGACUGGGAUAACUUCGGGAAACCGGAGCUAAUACCGGAUAAUAUUUUGAACCGCAUGGUUCAAAGGUGAAAGACGGUCUUGCUGUCACUUAUAGAUGGAUCCGCGCUGCAUUAGCUAGUUGGUAAGGUAACGGCUUACCAAGGCAACGAUGCAUAGCCGACCUGAGAGGGUGAUCGGCCACACUGGAACUGAGACACGGUCCAGACUCCUACGAGAGGCAGCAGUAGGGAAUCUUCCGCAAUGGGCGAAAGCCUGACGGAGCAACGCCGCGUGAGUGAUGAAGGUCUUCGGAUCGUAAAACUCUGUUAUUAGGGAAGAACAUAUGUGUAAGUAACUGUGCACAUCUUGACGGUACCUAAUCAGAAAGCCACGGCUAACUACGUG
rnacentral:rRNA from 1 species